CACAACCGGCUGGUGCUCGACCCCGCCACCUCUUCGCGUUGCUCGCUGACUUCUCACGUCACCGGCUCGUCAGCCGCCCCCAAGUCAGAUGACGAUGCGAAUCAGUGGAGGAGGAGACCAUGGAGGAGAGGAAUGAUGCAUUGAGAUGCCGUGGUUAGCGACGGAGCGCUAGCGGCGGGCGACGACCGGGCCAGGCAAGUGAAGAGAUCCCCUUUUUGGAUCAUGAAGAGCAUGGAGCUUCUCAGAUUUCCGAGGAAAAUUCUGCGGAGUCUGAUUACCGUCAGAUAGGGUUUGGGUGUGCAGAAGAUUUUCAUAGCAAUGACAAUUGCAGAAUUGGUGUUGUCCAUGGUUACUAUAGCCUGAAGGACCAUCCACGGCAAGUCGAAUCUCGAAUGGCAUGUAUUUAUAUGGAUUUGAGGUGAACCAACUGAUUCUACCUUGCUGUCAUAUCAUUGUUUGAAUUCCUAAUUUGGUGCAAAUAACUUAAAUGAAUGGAUAUUACUCGUAAUAUGUCCAGCUUCCUCGACUGUCCCAAAUCUUCUGCCCGGCAGCUCGCCUCAUCAGAUUGGUCUAAAGGUGGAGGACUAUAAGGGCUUGUCGGUUUGCAAGGCGUUGUCUCUUGAGGCGAGCUUAUGUGGAUCAUCUGGGAAGCUCAGGCAUGGAGCAGCGACUCAAGGAGAUUUGGUUUGGAGUUUGGGAAGGUAGUGUUGUGCAAUAUGCAGGAAGGAUUCUGUUACCAUUAAUUAACACACCAUGUUGGUGCUGGAGCUUUUGUGAUGAGUAGCAAAUGAGUAGGACAUUGCCCCUUCAAGCCAGCAAGAUGAUCGAUGUACGUUGAUGAAUAAGAGCGCCCAUCCAAGAUACUAAGGUAACUCAAGCGGUUUCAGAUACCGGUGAGCACUCAAGGGGAUAUAUUGCCAAAGUUCCACAGGAUUCAGUAUAUAGGCAUAUACAAUAUUACCCAAAAUUGGAUGAACCUGCAUGUUGCUGGGAUCGCUCUCAGGUAUAAUCCAUUCCUCCACCUUCAUGCUCAUGAUGUUUCCCUUUGUGCAAUUGUCCACGGGUUCUGAUUGAUUUUUAUUUUCCAUUAAACAUUUUGUUCGAAACACAAUAACUAGAUUGGAUCACCAACACUUUAGGAAGAUGGUGAGAUACGGCAAGGGGUCUGAUUCAUUCUCAAGAAUGCUUGUCUUUGAGUACCAACCAGAUGGGACUCUCUAUGAGCAUUUUCACGGUUCUAUGUUGGCAAGGAUCUGAUUUUAUCAGCUUUCUGAAAUGCAAAAGAUUCACACACGACGUUUUCUUCUUA